UGUAUGUAUGUUUAUAUAUUAUAUAUACACACACACACACAUAUGUAUGUAUGUAUAUUUAUAUGUAUGUGUGUAUAUAAAUGUAUAUGUGUGUGUGUGUGUGUGUGUGUGUAUAUGUGUAUAUAUAUAUAUAUAUAUGUACACAUACAUACAGUGUGUUUUGUGUAUGUGUAUAUGUUUUUUCUUUUUAAAGUAUUAAACUAGUAGGUGCGUCAAGCGCCACAUUGAACAUUACAUUAAGUGUCAUGCUCUGAUAGGCAGCUAGCCAUGCCCCAUUUUCAUGAGCUGUUAUAUCACAUAAGUGUUGUUGAUCAUCGACUGGUACUUGUGCGCUGUAAAGCCAAAGCAUUUUGCAUAGUUUUGAGGGAUAGUUACCAUCCUGAUCCGAAUACAGAAAGGGAUGCAGUCCAUUUUAAAGUAUGAGCAGUAAAUUGUAAAUUGCAAAGUAACCUGCUGAGGAUGGACGAGUACAGAAACCCUCCAAGAGACUUCUAGCUCAUCAUUCUUGUAAUGAGAACCAUGCAACUGCAGGUUGACUUGAGCAUAACCAUAGUAGCUCACUCACAGCUUUUUAACGUGUCUGUCUUCAGAUUAGUGAAAAGCAGCAGUCAGUUAGUAUAUUGUGAAGCACAGAAGCCCCUAAGAUCUAUCAUUACAUAUUUAGGCAUCCAGCUUUGAUAUGCCUAGAGAUAGAAGAACACGGGAUCUGCUAGUCCAACUAACCAUUACCCUUGUUCUUGAGCCGUUUUUAUAUAGAGUUGUUGGUCAUCUACUGUACUUGCCUGCUAUAAAGCUUUCACAUUUUGCUUGGUUAUAAAAGAAGCUUAGUCCUGAUCAGAACAUAAAAUGGACUGCCUUCCUUUCUGAGGUUUGUGCAGAUUUGUACACCACCAUAGUAAGAUAGUAAAGCGACUUAUUAAGGGAUAGAAUGGCACAGAAACCACCACGAGUGUUGUAAUGAGAAGAGUUCAAUUGCAGUAGGCCUCAGCGUUAUAUAGUAGAUAUAUAUAUAUAUUAUAUAAAAUAUCAUUAUACUGUACUAACUUGCUGCUUCUUGACAACACAUUUGUUUCCAGGUAAGUGAAAGCAGCAGCAAUGCUAUUAUAUUGUGACGCAGAGAUGCAGUUUCCUGAAAUACUGUAAAUUUACCGUGUUGUAAUUUUUAUAACUUUUUGCAAAAUGUAGUUUAUUCAGAACACACAUUUUCCUUUAGACCAUGCACUUCAUUGUGGUUUGCGUAACUAAGAAGUGGUGACGUGUUUUCUUGCAUCACCCCAUUCAGUGUCGUGACGGUGAAGGCUCUUUUUCAGACCCUUUUACUUAGCAGUAAGUGUUUUUACUACAGGGUUCCAGGUUAUGUGCUGGAUUAUGCAGUGACCAUGACCGUAUUCUUGGUCUGCCUGUCUGUCCUGAUCACAUUAGCCAUGCUGCUAAGGAAGUGACACGUUAAUGCCUUGCAGUGUCGGAUUUAAACUUAUGUAUAUCCUCAGGUAAUCAAGGUUCACUUAGACAGGGGAUCCUUGCUUCAUAUGCACUCAUGACUACAGCCUUUUGAGAUUGAGAGGAACCAUCCACUAAAAUGUCGUGCCACUAUUGUCAGUCUUAGUUAGCAGAGUCUAUUGAAUUUUUUUGGUUUCGUUGUGCUAUCCUUACUUUUACUACAGUAGAGCAGGCAGGAAGAGGAGGAGGAAGAAGAAGAAGCCACUCACCGAGUGCUACGUGCUCCUGUGACGACGGCUCAGUUGAGAGAAUGUUCGAAUCGUGUCAAGCACGGUUUGACAGGAGGCGACCAGGCAGAUUCGAGGCAAGUGGUUUAAAAAUUAGAUUUUGAUCUUCUUGAGAAGUUGGUUGGAAGUAAUAGCAAGCAGCAUUGCACUCCUCCGUUCACAGAUAACACGGUCAAGAGGAAUCUGUGAUCAAUGAAGCGGCUUAAAAGCACAGAAGAAGUGUUCGCUGAAGCUGGGUGCUGUUUAUGGAUUGUUUUAUUUUUAUAACUUAUUUGGACUGUUAAGUAUUCUUUUAAUGUACAAUCUAAUAAAUGUAGGAUUUAGAUGAGAAUUCCCAUUCCAGUAAUUAAAAAUUGUCAAUUGUACUGCUCAUAUGCUUAGCAAGAAACGUUUGAAUAGUUUGUCCGUUUUCAGGCCCUUGACAUUCUACAAUGUUUAGAGAUGGCUGUGUUGAAACACCAUUUGGUGAUCGGUGUAUAAAGAAUGGGUUUAUUUUGACGUCAGUGUUAAUUU